rnacentral:tRNA from 1 species
GGGGACAUGGCGCAGUGGUAGCGCGUCUGCUUUGCAUCUUCACAAUCGUGGAAUCAAUUAUGCAGAAGGUCUGGGGUUCGAAACCCCAUGUCUCCA